GAAUAUCGGAUUGGCGCUUACAAGCAGGCGUUGGAAAGCUAAAAAUCAGAGCAACCACUUUUGUAAUAAUUUUAAAUAGCAGGUCACUUGUUUUUAAACCCUAGAUUGCUACAAGAAAUAAAUAGUUUUUAUUUUAAUUUGAUGGAAGGCUAAUUUUAUAGGAUUAAUACAUUUGCACCAUUUGAGGACACUCUAAAAGGUUUAAAGCCUAUAGAGUAUACAAAAAAGAAACAUUAUUUGUUGAGGAAUCAAUUCAUGUCAUGUUUGAUGACAAAAAGUUUGACCAUAAAAAGUCAAAUCUACAUGUAGACAUUGCAUAUCAACAAUUAUCAAAGGAACCACCAAAACCAGCCUAUAAUGAAUCGGAUGAUAUGUCUAAUAACUCAAGAAAAAGCAAUAACGAACUUCCCACAAAUCAAGAUCAUCAAGAAUUCAACCCUGAGUGGUGAUACAACUCUUCUCAUCUAGACUAUUUGACGAUAAAAAAUGCAAAUUAUCCUCUAAAAACCAGAUCCUCUUUUAAAGAAAUAUUUACCUUUGGACUACUAUCUGAAAUUGAACCUACAACUAAGAACAUAGUGUCUUACCUCCAAACCCCUAGAGCCCUUGCAUAUAGAUUUCUUUAGUCUAGGGGAAAUAGCCUCAAUAAAUGGAAAGAAAUAUGGAUUUGUAAUAGUAGAUGAUUACACUAGGUGGACUUGGGUAAAAUUCUUGAGAAAUAAAGAUGAAUGCCACAAAGUGUUUAUUGCAUUUUUCAAACAAAUAUCGAAUGAAAAAUGUCUUAGGAUUAUAACAAUUAGAAAUGAUAAUGGAGGUGAAUUUGUAAACAAGUUAUUUGAAACUUUUUGUGAUGAGAGUGAAAUCUCAAACAACUUAUCCUCUCUUAGAACACCACAUAAAAAUGGAGAUGUAGAAAGAAAUAAUAGAUCACUUUAAGAAAUUGCUAGAACCAUGUAAAAUGAGAUAGAUGUUGCAAAACAUUUCAGGGUAGAAGCCAUUAACACUGCAUACUAUAUUCAGAAAAGAAUUUUAAUUAGACCAAUAUUGAGUAAAACACCAUACUAAUAUCUCUAAGUUUAAGCAAUUUUGUUGUAUUUGUUAUAUGUUAAACACUAAAGACAAGUUUAGGGUUUAGAGUUUAGUUGGCAAGUUUACCCUCAGUCACAAAAGGGUACCUUUCUUGAAUACUCUAAAAGAUCCAAAGCUUAUAGAGUGUUCAAUUGGGAAACUCAAGUUGUGGAGGAGUCAAUGCAUGUUAAAUUUGAUGACAAACCGCUAGAUCUAAAAAAGUCAAAGCAAGUUGAGGAUACUACAGGUUUAUCGAAACCAGGGGAAGCAGAUGCAGACAAACCAGAAGAAUCCAAACAAUAAGAUGAUGCAAGUAAAAAGAGGAAGAUGAAAAGGCAUCAAAAGAUUCAUCUGACCAAGUCAGAAGCCGUCAAAAUAACUCAGAAGUCAGAACUAGAUGGAAGUAUAAAUCAUCCCAUCAUUAAAGGAUACAACCUUGUUUGGUCUACAAUCAUCAAUUGAAUCUACCUCUAUUGAUGAUGCACUAGAAAAUAAUGGACGGAUCCUUGCAAUGCAUGACAAGUUGAAUGAAUUUAAAAGAAGUUGAUGUUUAGGAUCUAGUACCCAAACCAAAGAAAAACAUUAUUUGAACCAAGUGGGUUUUCAAAAACAAGUUAAAUGAAAAGGGAGAAGUUACCAGAAAUGAGGCUAGACCGAUUGCACAAUGUUACAAUCAACAAUAAGGUAUAUAAGUGAAGAAGUCUAUGUUAAACAACCGCUAGGUUUUGAAAGCUCUGAAAUUCCAGACUAUGUGUUUAAACUUAGGAAAUCAUUGUAUGGUGUAAAGUAAGCAUCUAUGGAAUGGUAUGAUAUAUUAGGUAA